rnacentral:rRNA from 1 species
GCCCGCGGCCCAUUAGCUUGUUGGUGAGGUAACGGCUCACCAAGGCGACGAUGGGUAGCCGAGCUGAAGGCUGAUCGGCCACACUGGACUGAGACACGGCCCAGACUCCUACGGGAGGCAGCAGUGGGGAAUUUUGCGCAAUGGGCGAAAGCCUGACGCAGCAACGCCGCGUGCGGGAUGAAGGCCUUCGGGUUGUAAACCGCUUUCAGCAGGGACUGUACCUGCAGAAGAAGCCCCGCUAACUACGUGCCAGCAGCCGCGGUAAUACGUAGGGCAAGCGUUAUCCGGAUUCAUUGGGCGUAAGAGCGCGUAGCGGCUUGUUAAGCGAGAUGUGAAACCGGGGGCUCAACCCGCGGCCGCAUCUCGAACUGGCAGCUUGAGUCUGGUAGAGGAAGUGGAAUCCCAGUGUAGCGUGAAAUGCGCAGAUAUCGGAAGGAACACCAGGGGAUCACAGUGAAUUCGC